rnacentral:rRNA from 1 species
GACGAACCGUGCUAACGUUGUUCGGAAUCACUGGGCUUAAAGGGCGCGUAGGCGGGUCAGCAAGUCAGGGGUGAAAUCCCACGGCUCAACCGUGGAAGAGCCUGUGAUACUGCUGAUCUUGAGGGAGGUAGGGGCGUGCGGAACUUCCGGUGGAGCGGUGAAAUGCGUAGAUAUCGGAAGGAACACCGGUGGCGAAAGCGGCGCGCUGGACCUCUUCUGACGCUGAGGCGCGAAAGCCAGGGGAGCAAACGGG